CAUGCAAGUCGAACGAGAAAGGGUUCUUCGGAACCCGAGUACAGUGGCGAACGGGUGCGUAACACGUAGGCAACCCGCCCUUGAGUGGGGAAUAACUACCGGAAACGGUGGCUAAUACCGCAUGAAGACCAGAGACCGCAUGAUCUUCGGUUGAAAGACUUCGGUCGCUCAAGGAUGGGCCUGCGGCGGAUUAGCUUGUUGGUGAGGUAAAAGCUCACCAAGGCUACGAUCCGUAGCUGGUCUGAGAGGAUGAUCAGCCACACUGGCACUGAGACACGGGCCAGACUCCUACGGGAGGCAGCAGUAAGGAAUCUUGCGCAAUGGAGGAAACUCUGACGCAGCCACGCCGCGUGAAGGAAGACACCCCUAUGGGGCGUAAACUUCUUUUAUAUGGGAAGAACCCCCUGCUCUGCAGGGUCUGACGGUACCAUAUGAAUAAGCACCGGCUAACUCCGUGCCAGCAGCCGCGGUAAUACGGAGGGUGCAAGCGUUGUCCGGAAUCACUGGGUGUAAAGGGUGUGUAGGCGGGGCAGUAAGUCAGAGGUGAAAGCCCACGGCUCAACCGUGGAAUUGCCUUUGAUACUGCUGUUCUUGAGUCCUGGAGAGGUCGCCGGAAUUCGUGGUGUAGCGGUGAAAUGCGUAGAUAUCACGAGGAACACCGGAGGUGUAGACGGGUGACUGGACAGGUACUGACG
rnacentral:rRNA from 1 species